rnacentral:rRNA from 1 species
GCUGGGUAAGACGGGUGCCAGCCGCCGCGGUAAUACCCGCAGCCCAAGUGGUGGUCGAUUUUAUUGAGUCUAAAACGUUCGUAGCCGGUUCAUUAAAUCCUUGGGUAAAUCGGGUGGCUUAACUAUCCGAAUUCCGGGGAGACUGGUGAACUUGGGACCGGGAGAGGCAAGAGGUACUUUUGGGGUAGGGGUAAAAUCCUGUAAUCUAAAAGGACCACCGGUGGCGAAGGCGUCUUGCUAGAAACGGAUCCGACGGUGAGGGACGAAGCCCUGGGUCGCAAACGGGAUUAGAUACCCCGGUAGUCCAGGGUGUAAACGCUGCAGACUUGGUGUUGGGGACCCUUCGGGGGUGUUCAGUGCCGGAGAGAAGUUGUUAAGUCUGCUACUUGGGGAGUACGUCCGCAAGGAUGAAACUUAAAGGAAUUGGCGGGGGAGCACCGCAACGGGAGGAACGUGCGGUUUAAUUGGAUUCAACACCGGAAAACUCACCAGCAGCGACUAUUACAUGAAAGUCAGGCCGAUGACCUUACUAGAUUUUUAGAGAGGUGGUGCAUGGCCGUCGUCAGUUCGUACCGUAAGGCGUUCUCUUAAGUGAGAUAACGAACGAGACCCUCACCAAUAAUUGCUACUGCGUCGUCCGCGGCGUAGGCACAUUAUUGGGACCGCUGGCGCUAAGUCAGAGGAAGGAGAGGUCAACGGUAGGUCAGUAUGCCCCGAAUCUGCUGGGCUACACGCGCGUUACAAAGGGCGGGACAAUGGGCUCCGACACCGAAAGGUGAAGGCAAUCUCGAAACCCGUCCGUAGUUCGGAUUGAGGGUUGUAACUCACCCUCAUGAAGCUGGAUUCCGUAGUAAUCGCGAAUCAACAACUCGCGGUGUAAUAUGCCCCAUGCUCCUUAAACGAACCG